GGAAAACCCAGCUAGAAGAAAGAGGCUUGCCCAGUUCUCCUAAUGAUUGGAGCAGAGCUGACACGCCAAGGGCGUUUUCUUGCGGUUAUUUUAAGGAAGCCACCUGAAAUCUAAGACACUGUCCAUGUGAUCAGUGGCUUCAGUUCGAAUGUUCCUCGGGGUCAGAUCCUGGCCCGGAGCCUUUAACAUGUGACCACGGGGUUGUGUUGAGCCCACAAUUAUCCAAUUUAAAGCAAUGUAAAAGACGUAGAACCAAACUACUGAGGGUGGCACAUUCAGUCCUGGGAGAGGGACAGAGAAAACAGGUGGGGCAUUCACGGUGGUCCCUGGAGCUUCAGCCACUCCAGAGGGUUCUGGAAGGCUCCAUUGCCCACUCUCCUCUUUCCACACCCCCACCUCCACAACCUGUACUCCUCUCUGCCAGGAGCCUUGUCCUAGGCUUCAGGGUGGGAGAAGUCUCCGGUCCUGCCCCAUUCCCACGGCCUCACCCCACUGACCUCCUCACUACCUUUCCCCUCUCCAAAUCCGAAAAGGCUCUCCCAUUGCCAGGACACUGAAGAAUGGGAGACCCGCCAUACAGUCCUGUCCUCAAGGAGCCUGUGGCUCAGGGAGAGGAGAGAAGGUCAGAGCUGCGCAGAGCUGGCGGUGCUUCCCCAUGGGAUGCAAUGCUGGUAGCUUUAAACCAGCUACGGUAGAAGUAUUAACACCACAGAAGUCAAGAGAGGCCUUUUCUCUGCAGAGAGCUGAUUGUUAAACAUUGACCAGCACACGUCUGCUGACACACCUGCGGCUUCUCCUGCUGUGGGUGGUCCUGAGGGCAGUGUUAGCUGGAGCUGCCUGAGGAAGCUUCAGAGGCAGGUGAGAUGGGCUUUGGGCAAGGGAUAGUUGUGGUAGCUGUGGGGUAAGGGAAGGCAUUUCUGGUGAACCUAACGGUGUGAGCAGAGGCCCCCCUACUUUGGGGGUAUCUUGGCACAGAGCAGGGAACUUAAGUGAUACUCAGUGACGAUCGUGGUCUAUUGUUACCUAAAUUAGGUCUUUACGUGUUGGUAGAUUGGAUGCACAAAUGAAAUGUUCCUUAAAUCCUGACAGGUACAUGGUGCCGGUUUGCCAAGAACCAGCCUAUGUGUGCCAGGAGUUCAGCUUUACAGAGAGUGUUCCCUGAACCCAGCUGCCAUGGUUCAUUAUUCACUUUAAGGGUGACUCAGAAAUCAGCUUAGAUUAUUAUUUAGCGGGAGAGGAAACUGAAUCGCAGAGAGUGCUUCCGAGACUUUCUUAAGACCACAGCCAGUUAAACCUUCAUCAGGAUUAGGACUUUGGAGUGAGAACUUGUAUUAGUUAUCCACAGCUACAUAAAACACUUCUCCCACAUUAAAAAAAAAAUAGUUAAAAAACUGCUUUUUUUUUCUUUUUCUUUUUUUUUUUUUUUUGAGACCAAGUCUCACUCAGUUGCCCAGGCUGGAGUGCAAUGGUGCAAUCUCAGCUCACUGAAACCUCCACCUCCCGGGUUCAAGCAAUUCUCCCACCUCAGCCUCCUGAGUAGCUGGGAUUACAGGCACCUGCCCUCAUGCCUGGCUAAUUUUUGUAUUUUUGUACAGAUGGGGUUUCACUAUGUUGGCCAGGCUGGUCUCGAACUCCUGACCUCAGGUGAUCCGCCCGUCUCGGCCUCCCAAAGUGCUGAGAUUACAGGUGUGAGCCACCGUGCCCAGCCUUGUUUUGUUUUUAACUAUGUUGCCCAGGUUGGCCUUGAACUCCUGGACUCAAGCCUCCUGAGUGGCUGUGAGGACAAGCACGUGCCACCAAGCUCGGCUUUUAAAAAUCAUUUUAAGUGGCUUACAACAAUAAUACACAUUUAUUAUCUCACAAUUCCUGUGAGUCAGGGAUGCAGGAGUGAUUUAACUGGGUGAAUUUGACUUGGGGUCUCUCAUGAAUUUGCAGUCAAGAUGUCAGCUUGGGCUGCAGUCAUCUGCAUGGGGCUGGAGGAUCUGUUUCCAAGGGGCCCCACUCACAAGGCUGACAAAUUAGCACUGGUUGCAUUGGUUGUGGGCAGAAGGCUUUAGUUCUUCACGGGCUGUUGGCAGGUGGCUUUGGAUCCUCACCAGGAGGGACUCUGUAUGGGGCUGCUUGUGCAUCCUCACAACAUGGCAGCCAACUUCCUCCUGAGUGAAUGAUCCAGGAGAGAUCAAGGUAGAAACUGCAAUGCCUUUUAUGACCUCACCUCAGAAGUCACACAUCAUCAUUUCCACAAUGUCACAGUGGUUAUACAAGUGAGUCCUGUUCAGCGUGGGAGGAAAUAACACAAGAGGCAAAGAUCACUCGGGACCACCUUGUAUAUUGGCUACCACAGAACCCAACACAAGCAGUAAGUUAAAAUCAUGAAGCUCCUGACGUCAGAGGACAUGGCUCUGCCAUUUGUUAGGUAGGGAUCCUGUUAAAGGCUCAGCUUCCUCAUCUGGAAAUGGAAAUAUAGGCCUUGCCUGGUUUGCUGUAAUGGGUCGUGAUGAGGACCAAACUACAAAGAGUGGUACAGAUGUUAAUUACAAUGAUUUUUCCUAUGCCACCCAUGGAAACAAAAAUAGCAAGAUAGAGAAGGCUAAAUCCCAGUUUUUUUUGACUGCUAUUCAGCAAAGCCUAGGAGACUUUCAUGACACCUGGAGAGGCGGCCGUAGUGUAUGUGUAAGAGUACCGGUUCCAGAGUGGGGCUCCCCGAGCUCAGCCCCACCACUUACCAACAGCGGACCUUGGGCCAGAUGCUGAAGCCCUUUGUGCCUUGGUUUCCUGACCUAUUACUGUGGAAAUGAUGACAGUACCCUCCUCAUGGCAUCGUGAGAAUUAAAUUAGCUAAUUCAGGUGAAGCAUUUAGAAGAGGACCUCCUGACACUUAAUAACUGCUUGAUAUAAAUAAUAGCUUCUGCUACAGAGUGGCCAUGAAGUCUGGACAUGUAGAUAUUAUAUUAUCAUGCAUCAUAAGGUAAUACCAACAAACCAUUUAUUAUAUAUUCACCUGUUUCCAGAUUUAAUAGCCAACCUAUAUUAGUGCUCUGGUCCUAAAUGUCCAUGCAGUUUACUGUGCUCUUUGGUUGUAUCUCUAAUCCAGGUAGUUGAUCUGGUGUGAGAUUCCAACCUCGUGUGAGAGAGGAGAAGACCUUCAUUACACUAAUUCAUGCUGGCCCAGCCUCCAGGCCACCCCAGAUGUGAGGUGCUGUUAACACUGCUCUCAGGUGCAUUGCUCAGCCCAGUGGGACCUUUUAUGACACCAGCACACAGAGUAGAACAGAUGUCCCUGUGCUAAGUUGAUUUUGCAAACUGCAGUGGCCAGCCCCAUAAUGGCAUAAAGAUGUGCUUUACCCCAAAGGGGACAGGGUAUUAGAAAACAGUUGAAAAGGCUUCUGAACAACAUGUGAGGGUGCCCGGGAGAGGAAUGCUCCAGAUAGGGAAGGUCUGGGGCUGCAGAGAUGUAGCCCAUGUUAAUAAGACACGUAACUCUGAGCACGUAAAACUCUUGAGCCUAGAAACUGGUAGCACUGAUGGCGUUUAAAUUACGUUAUGAAACAACUCUUUGAAAAUAAUUUAACAGUUUCUAUAAAUACCCAGCUCUCUGGUUUGUGUAAAGGCCUUUUUUUUUUCUUUUCUUUCUUUCUUUUUUUUUUUUUUUUUGAGACAGAGUCUUGCUCUGUCACCCAGGCUGGAGUGCAAUGGCAUGAUCUCGGCUCACUGCAACCUCUGCCUCCUGGGUUCAAGUGAUUCUCCUAUCUCAGCCUCCCAAGCAACUGAGAUUACAGGCGCCUGCCACCACGCCCAACUAAUUUUUUGUGUGGUUUUUUUUUUGUAUUUUUAGUAGGGACGGGGUUUCGCCAUGUUGGCCAGCCUGGUCUCGAACUCCUGACCUCAGGUGAUCCAUCCGCUUCGGCCUCCCAAAGUGGUGGGAUCACAGGUGCAAGCCACCGUGCCCAGGCUGCUAUCUUAUUUUCAAGAAUUUGACUCACGUCUUUCUGAAGAACAUCUAUCACUUAGAAUGGCUUUCCCAAAAUAUGUUUUUAGAACACUAAUCCCAUGGAAUGUUACGGGCAUGGCAUUAAAAAAGGUUUCAGUGAUCAAAUGAACUUGGGAAACACUGGGUCAAAUAUUCUUGAAGAUGUUUCUUUUUAAAAGAAAUUGUCAGAGCCUUUCAUAUGCUAAUAUGUCUCAUGAUUCUCUAUGAGUGAUAAAAUCUAUAGUUUCCCCUACAUUUAUUUAACCACAAACCCUGUUUUUGGAAGAAUAUAUUUCAGAAUAAGUAUUCAGUGGAAUCUAGAUAUAGGAAAGUGUAGACCCAAUAAUUGGAAACCUAUUGUUUAGUCCGCCCAGUCCGCCUGGCACAUCCACUUUUUCCGAUAGCACCGUCUCUUCUUCCAAGAACUGCUCCCAGCUCAUUCCUGUGGUCUCCAAGGGAACUGGUGUUUUCUUCUGUGUGCCAUCCCUUGGCCAAAGUGACCCACCUCCCAGCCACUAAGUCCCUUCCCUGGAAAUUUUGAAUUUGGGACCAAUAAUUCUUUUUCUGGUGGUUGAGGCUGCGAGACACAAAACCUAGGCCGAACGCAGUGCUCACGCCUGUAAUCCCAGCACUUUGGGAGGCCAAGGCAGGCAGAUCACAUGAGGUCAGGAGUUCAAGACCAGCCUGGCCAACAUGGUGAAACCCCGUCUGUGCUAAAAAUACAAAAUUUAGCCACGUGUGGUGGUGUGCGCCUGUAAUUCCAGCUACUCAGGAGGCUGAGGCAGAAGAAUCAUUUGAACAUGGGAGGCGGAGGUUGCAGUGAGCCGAGAUUGCACCACCGCACUCCAGCCUGGGUGACAGAGCAAGACUCCUUAGGCCACUGGGACAGUAGAAGAUGUAUUAUCUAAAUUGCCUUAGUUUGAAAGCAACAACGACAGAAAAAUAACACUCUGGCUGAUUUAAGCAAAACAAAAAGAAAUUUGCCGGAAGGAUACUGGGGCCAAAGGGCUGUCUCCUGUUGGGCAGGUUGUGCACUGCACAAUUCAGGUGGUGGGAGAAGUGCUCACUUUUUCAUCUAUGUAGAAUUGCACCUCCUAAAGUUGCACCGUACACUGCCUAUAACACCAUAUGCAGUAGUCCUGCAGGAGUGUCUCACAGAAGUGUUUCUCAAACUCUCUGUGCUGAAGGACCAAGUUUUUAGUGUUAAUGUUAUUAUUCAAAUCCAUUGUAGAUCAAGACUUUGGUAAAUCAAAUACGAAUUACUUGAAAGACAAAAUUUCACUUGAUAUCCCAGCAAUUGUUCUAAAAGUGACUAAGCACUCAGUUUCUGAACUGACCUCACUAUGAACUAGUAACUCAUCAUUUGGGAAAGGGAACUGGUCCACAGACCACAUUUG
rnacentral:lncRNA from 10 species